CGAACAACAGCAAGAGUGACAGAAAUGCACAAAUCAGUGAGGACUGUGUGGAGAUGUACAUUAAAAGAGAUAAAGAACCAAGCAAGUGGAAUGAUGAGAGAUGUACAAAAUCAAAGACUGCUCUGUGCUACACAGUGUGCAGCGGACGCUAAUUUUUUUGUCACUUUUUACGGAAUCAAACUCAAAGUAAGCGGCUUGUAAGAAUGACUCCUGUUUGCAUGGAGAGUGUGUUGAAACCAUCAACAGCCACAAAUGUGAAUGCUUUGAAGGGUUUUUUGGAGACAAGUGUGACCAAGCUGUGCAGUGUAACAAAAGCGAAGUUAUUGCCCCA